UGGGGCCUACGGGGCGCAGCAGCGAGGAAUAUUGGUCAAUGGGCGCGAGCCUGAACCAGCCAAGUCGCGUGAGGGAUGACGGCCCUACGGGUUGUAAACCUCUUUUGCCGGGGAGCAACGGGCGCCACGUGUGGCGCCACUGAGAGUACCCGGAGAAAAAGCAUCGGCUAACUCCGUGCCAGCAGCCGCGGUAAUACGCAGGUGGCAAGCGUUAUCCGGAUUUAUUGGGCGUAAAGGGAACGCAGGCGGUCUUUUAAGUCUGAUGUGAAAGCCUUCGGCUUAACCGGAGUAGUGCAUUGGAAACU
rnacentral:rRNA from 1 species